rnacentral:rRNA from 1 species
UACGGGGGGGCAAGCGUUGUUCGGAAUUACUGGGCGUAAAGGGCUCGUAGGCGGCCAACUAAGUCAGACGUGAAAUCCCUCGGCUUAACCGGGGAACUGCGUCUGAUACUGGAUGGCUCGAGUUUGGGAGAGGGAUGCGGAAUUCCAGGUGUAGCGGUGAAAUGCGUAGAUAUCUGGAGGAACACCGGUGGCGAAGGCGGCAUCCUGGACCACACUGACGCUGAUGAGCGAAAGCCAGGGGAGCAACGGG